GUGCUCUAAUAAUUUCCUCAUGUUGCAUAACGGCCUCACUGCUUUGGAUCCAGAGCCACCACCCCGGGAGGCCUGUGGUCCUUGAGUGCUGGGUGAGCGAACACCAGGCUGGCUGGAGACUCAGCAUUGCCUGGGGCUUUCGGGAACUUCCUUCAGAUAAUCACCCUGCCAGACAGUGGAGGACUGCCAGACGAAUUAGGAAGACCUGCCUGACAGGGCCUUUAAAGAUGCCUUUGAGAAGAGGAAAUGCUCUCCUUUCUGAGAAGGAUACCUGUCCAGCACCGUACCAGAUAUACAAGAGGUGCUCAAGCAGUGCAGCCCAAAACGUCCACAAUGAAGAAAUCAUAGAGGAGUCACCAUCUUGCAAAGUCAAAGUGAGCAGCAGGUGUUUGGCAACAUCUACAGACGUUCGGGGGUCACGGAAGGGGCAGAGGCUGCUCCUGGCAUCAAGCGGGGCUGCCCCCACAGCACAGAGCGACCCACCCUGUGUCGAGGAGGCUACAGUGAACCUGCAGGAAGGAGCCAAGAAAAUGUGGUGCAAAAAAACCCAUCCCAGCACCAGCCUCCAGGAUUGGUGGAAUAGAGAGGCACAUGGCCCGGGGAACUUGCCCAGAUCCUAACUUACUGGCAAAAUAUGGCCUAUGCUGGAGUUGAAUCUCAGCAGGAAGGAGGUUGGAGACCUUACUUCUCAACUCAAAAGGGGCCUCAUCCCCCUAAUGUUGGUGAUGCUUUUUCUUGCCAAGGGACCAGAAACUCAUUUCUGUGCCCCACCCUUGGGCAGUGCUCCAGUAUCCACUCCAGGGAAAUAGAAGGAGGAGGCCCCGCAGCCUGCCAAGGCCGGACUGUUCUUCACUUGGAAAUAUCAUCCCAGCCCUGCUCCCACAGCCCCCUCCUUCCACAGCCCCCUCCUUCCUCCACCCCACAAGGCUAUUCGUGAAAGAAUUAAAAAUGAGCCCAGCACUAAGGCGAUCUGAGUAAUAAAUGUGUUGGGACAACCA
ensembl:lncRNA